rnacentral:rRNA from 1 species
UACGUAGGGUCCGAGCGUUGUCCGGAAUUACUGGGCGUAAAGAGCUCGUAGGUGGCUUGUCGCGUUGUUCGUGAAAACUCACAGCUCAACUGUGGGCGUGCGGGCGAUACGGGCAGACUUGAGUACUGCAGGGGAGACUGGAAUUCCUGGUGUAGCGGUGGAAUGCGCAGAUAUCAGGAGGAACACCGGUGGCGAAGGCGGGUCUCUGGGCAGUAACUGACGCUGAGGAGCGAAAGCGUGGGGAGCAAACAGG